GUCCUCGGGGUGUGCCGGAGGCACGCGACCCUGCGAAGGUCGAAGACCAGGUUCGAUUCCUGGCGGGGAUA
rnacentral:tRNA from 1 species